rnacentral:lncRNA from 1 species
CGCAAUUCUACACAGAGGCAGAGAAAUGUUGUUUGUUUCUUUUCUCUGCAGCUUCUCCAUCUUUACGAGCAAGUAUUUCUUGCUGUCUCCCCUGUACCUCCCAGCAGUAGCCCUCCUCACCUUCACUAGCGAGACAGCAAGAGCCACGUAUCAUUUGCACACCAGCUUGUUGCUACCUACAUGGUGUCGGAUAUCGGUGGAGUUGGUCUGUGUGGGAGUCCCGCCUGAGACGCGGGCGCGAACCCCUCUUUCGAUACGACACAGAGCUGAACCUUUGCUUCCCAGCACCACCUACUCGACUAUCCGCUCGAAGCAUUUGCGGGGAGAGUCCUGCUCCAAUCAAAGGUUUUUUGCGCAAACUGUAGAGUCUCUCGAAAACACUCUGUCGCCGUUCAGUGCCUGUAGUGCGCAAGUGUCUCCGAGGAGGUUCUCUCAGCCCAUAUCUGAUGUCCAGUGUCCGGUUAUCAAGUGUGCCGAGCUCAGUGCAAGAACCAACUCCAACGGAGUUUUUUCCAGAGGACUCUGGUCUUGCGGUGCCCCCAGCCACUAACGAUGCCGUUUCCGAGACCGAUGAGCGGCCAUGUAAAGAAAGCUUUCCGUUGCCUAUCGGGUGACUAUCAAACAGGGAACGCGCAGAUAAGGAACACAGCCGUCUCCUGUGUUGGCUGUCGCGCGACCCCGUGCCUCCCGUGGAGUGCCUGCUCGAGUCGCUGUCGAGCGUAUCCCGUCC